rnacentral:rRNA from 1 species
CGCGGGAAAUCUUACCGGGUCCGGACACACUGAGGAUUGACAGGCAAUAUAUUAGCAUAAAGACUCGUCUUUAGCGCUAAUUGUUAAAUAUGCUAGUCCUUUCAUGAUUAUGUGAUAGGUGGUGCAUGGCCGUUCUUAGUUCGUGGAGUGAUCUGUCUGCUUAAUUGCGUUUCACUAAGGGCCCAUAAAUUCAAGGUAUGUUAGCAAAUGCUGCUCUAUUGACCCCUAAUAGGCUUAACNGUCUUUAGCGCGUGUCUCUACGAGUUCUUUAAAGCACUGCGCAUGCUGUUGGGUCCUGAAAGCAACGAACGUGACCGCAACGUCUUGUUGCCUCUCUAU